UCGGAUAUGGUGUAACGGCUAACAUUGCCGCCUCUCAUCUAUUUCGGGGAACUUUAGAGUGAACGCGGCAGCUCGGGGUUCGAUUCGCCGAAUCCGAA